rnacentral:rRNA from 1 species
GUGGAUUAGAUACCCUGGUAGUCCACGCCGUAAACUAUGGAUGCUAGCUGUUAGAGGUAUCGACCCCUCUAGUAGCGAAGCUAACGCGUUAAGCAUCCCGCCUGUGGAGUACGGUCGCAAGACUAAAACAUAAAGGAAUUGACGGGGACCCGCACAAGCGGUGGAGCGUGUUGUUUAAUUCGAUGGUAAGCGAAGAACCUUACCCAGGCUUGACAUCCUUGGAAUUUCUCCGAAAGGAGAGAGUGCUUUUAGAGCCAAGUGACAGGUGAUGCACGGUCGUCGUCAGCU